UAGUUAAAGCCAAAAUAGAGGCCUGCUACUGUUAAUAGUAUUAAUGAGUUAAACUCUAACUAU
rnacentral:tRNA from 1 species